rnacentral:tRNA from 1 species
CGCUAAGAAGCUAAAUCGGUUUAUAGCGUUAGCCUUUUAAGCUAAAGACUGGUGAUUACC